GUUAACAGAUCUCAGGGUAGGGAAACGACUUCACACACUGUUAAUCAAACCUUGAAAGGCCUUGUGCAACCUUUCUCUAGCCUGGCAAACUGUUUGGCAGGAUCUUGGCGCAAGGAAAUGUCCAGCUUGUCCGGCCAGGUGGAGAGUGCCAAUGGAUCAUGGGGAAGGGAAACGUUGUCACCAAACUGGUGCAGUUGCGGUGACGGAGAGCAAAUGAUGAACAUUGUCUUAGGAUGAUGGUGAAGUAGGCUAUACUCUACUGCCCAAACACUCCAAGACCCAGAGGACUUGUCAUCAGGUUCACAUGGUGGCAGACAAGUUCAAAGACCUGCAUCUUUUCCCAGUCAUUCAUGAGUCCUUAAAGAAGAACCCUCUGACCAGCAUGACAGAUCAGCAGGAGGCUGAACGUGCAUUGGGAAAAUGGUUCACUGGGG